UACGAAGGGGGCUAGCGUUGCUCGGAAUGACUGGGCGUAAAGGGCGCGUAGGCGGCUUAUAUUGUCAGGCGUGAAAUUCCUGGGCUCAACCUGGGGGCUGCGCUUGAUACGUAUGGGCUUGAGUGGGGAAGAGGGUCGUGGAAUUCCCAGCGUAGAGGUGAAAUUCGUAGAUAUUGGGAAGAACACCGGUGGCGAAGGCGGCGACCCGGUCCUUUUACUGACGCUGAGGCGCGAAAGCGUGGGGAGCAAACAGG
rnacentral:rRNA from 1 species